rnacentral:rRNA from 1 species
AACGAACGCUGGCGGCGCGCCUAAUACAUGCAAGUCGAGCGAGAAGACGUAGCAAUACGUUUGUAAAGCGGCGAACGGGUGAGGAAUGCAUGGGUAACCUACCCUCGAGUGGGGAAUAACUAGCCGAAAGGUUAGCUAAUACCGCGUACGCUCCUUGGACUUCGGUUCAGGGAGGAAAGCGAUACCGUGGGUAUCGCGCUCUUGGAUGGGCUCAUGUCCUAUCAGCUUGUUGGCGAGGUAACGGCUCACCAAGGCUUCGACGGGUAGCUGGUCUGAGAGGACGAUCAGCCACAUUGGGACUGAGACACGGCCCAGACUCCUACGGGAGGCAGCAGUGGGGAAUAUUGCGCAAUGGACGAAAGUCUGACGCAGCGACGCCGCGUGUGGGAUGACGGUCUUCGGAUUGUAAACCACUGUCGGGAGGGACGAAUACGCCGC